rnacentral:rRNA from 2 species
UGACGAGUGGCGGACGGGUGAGUAAUGUCUGGGAAACUGCCUGAUGGAGGGGGAUAACUACUGGAAACGGUGGCUAAUACCGCAUAACGUCGCAAGACCAAAGAGGGGGACCUUCGGGCCUCUUGCCAUCAGAUGUGCCCAGAUGGGAUUAGCUUGUUGGUGAGGUAACGGCUCACCAAGGCGACGAUCCCUAGCUGGUCUGAGAGGAUGACCAGCCACACUGGAACUGAGACACGGUCCAGACUCCUACGGGAGGCAGCAGUGGGGAAUAUUGCACAAUGGGCGCAAGCCUGAUGCAGCCAUGCCGCGUGUAUGAAGAAGGCCUUCGGGUUGUAAAGUACUU